CAGCAGCCGCGGUAAUACGUAGGGUGCGAGCGUUAAUCGGAAUUACUGGGCGUAAAGCGUGCGCAGGCGGUUUGUUAAGACAGAUGUGAAAUCCCCGGGCUUAACCUGGGAACUGCAUUUGUGACUGGCCGGCUAGAGUAUGGCAGAGGGAGGUGGAAUUCCACGUGUAGCAGUGAAAUGCGUAGAUAUGUGGAGGAACACCGAUGGCGAAGGCAGCCUCCUGGGCCAAUACUGACGCUCAUGCACGAAAGCGUGGGGAGCAAACAGGAUUAGAUACCCCAGUAGUCCCUGUCUCUUAUAC
rnacentral:rRNA from 1 species